UCACUUUGUUUUGUUGACACUCAUCACCUCACACAAAAGGCAUUUAAAGAACAAUAAAUAAUAAAAUUAUACUUGUAUAAAAGAAACGAAUCAAUUCAAUGUGUCCUGGUAAGUGCUAACGGAAAACAAACAAAACAACCUCCAUACUGAAAUUGAAGGUAUCCUGAGAGUGCCAUUAGUUACAUAAACAUGGAUUUGGAACUAUUAAAACUACCAGCAAAAAAAUUAACAUGAAUAGUCAAAUUCUGCAAUCAAGAACAACUAACUAAAAAAAUUUGAAGUUUGAAGUGUGUUUUCGAAUUGCACUUAAGGUUGCUUUUACCACAAUGUACACAAUGAUGCAAAAGUGUUCCGCAGUACAGUCGAAGAGACCACCAAAGCCGCAAUUUAAAACCAUGUAAAGUAUAUUCAAAUGAUCAAGCCAACUUUUUUACCUUCAUACACAUCCAAUAGUAGAGGCACAAUUUUCUGAAAUCGGGUCACAUAUUUCUCCAAAAACUUUUUCUCAGAAAGUAUCAUAAAGGUACCUAUGUGCAAAUCAUUCUUUACCAAACCGCUUGACUUCAAAACUUUAACAACUGCACAUCUAGGGAUAAAUGUCUUCUCCAGGUUGCGGUUCAAAAUCCCCGGGCAUCUAGCAAUGUCUUCUAAGGAACAACCCAUAUUCUCUACCAAGAAGCUCAGUGUUUUCAUAAUCUUCUUUUCUGCAAUCAUCAUAUACUGGGGAUACUUUUUGAAAGCCACAAGACAAAUAUCUUUGGACCAACCCCACCUCUGGAAAGCCUCUAAUUUCGCUUUCCACAUUGCCUUAUCCAUCUUUGCAAGUACUUGAAGUGCCAAAACAAAAUUUGUUUUCAUGGGAUCAAACCCCAUUUCUUUCGUUGCCUCGACAGCCUCAUUGAAUCUUGAAUGCUUCAUAAACACUACACUAGGGAAAUUGGUUACUAAUAGAGAGAUUGAACCUUGAGGCAAGCCAAGCCGUCUCAAAACCUCUAUGUUCUGAACUGAAUCAUUUAUUACCUCAUAACCGUGAAAGUACCUCGGCCCAUGCUUCAAAGUUGAAACUACUUCCUCAUCACUGCGAAGGAGACUCCUGAUUAUGUUAUAACGAGGGAUAAUGUUGUUCUUCAAGCCUAGUGUUAAUAGUGAACAGUUUCCGAUGAUGAUUCUGGGAAGGUCAAUUUCUGACAUCCCAAUAGAUUGAAAGAACUUGAGUUUUGGGAGAAGGGUCUUGUCAGGUUCAGCUAAAAGCACUGAGGGUAAUCUUUUGAUCAAGAUAGAUAACUGCUUUUCGGAGAACCCGUAAUUCUUGAGUAGAUCAAGAACAACAUCUGGCCCAUCUUGGUUUUUCAAUUUAAUCUUUUUGGAGAUUUUGAGAGCCAAAUCAGGAGACAACCCACAUGAAUUGAUGAGGUAAGAAACAGUAAAGUUGUGAAAUUUAUGGUGAUUUGUUUGUGAUUCAGAUUUCAAAGAAGUUCCUGAGGUGAAUGACUUAAAGAAAAUAAAAGCAUUGUAUGGCAGCAGAGAACCCAAUUGGAUUUGGGUGCGGCUGCGCUGAGUGAAUGAUGAUGCAGUUAAUCUUGCAAUGAGAAAUGUACGAAUCAUUUGAUUUCACUAACCUAAUUUGCAGAACUAAGAUUCAACUUUGAUGUAGUCUCACCCGAAUGGUGCAGUUUCACUCUUUUAUCUCUAAAUAAUAGAACUUGGCGAGAAAAAGAACACGAUGCAAGACAAUAAAGUCCAAAACAAAUCUCAAAAACAGUAACUUAAGACUUACCUAGAAAGGUGAAAACCACUGGAGCUUGAUUUUAUGUUGGGUUUUGUUCUGGCAUGAGUUGCAGAGUGCCGCUCCCAAGAAGAAGAUAUCAUUCCGAAGUUUAACAAACUUUGGGCCUUGGGUGUUGGGUCUGUGUGCCCGCUAUGUGACUAAUGUGAGUUUAAGGUUUCAGACAUUUUUCCCACUCUAGGUGUCAAAAUAUGUUCAAACAACUACCUAUAUCUAAAUAUAAUUACACAGAAUUUUUCUGAUGUCUAAUUUCUAUUUGAAAAAUGUAUAUUUGUGGUUCAGCAUUUAGAGUAGAGGUGUAUUUUGUAUUAUGGGUGUUAUGAAAAAAAUAAAUAAAAUAAAUUGGGGUAUGUUCUAUCCUGAUAUUCAGACCAGUCAAACGCUAACCAACUCAUUAGACCAUAACACAUUACUAAGCAUAUGGUCGACCUAACUAAGGGAUAGGACAACAAUGACAAAACAUGACAUAGUUAACACCUGCAAAACCACAACCUCUACUAAAAUACUGACACGUUGCAUGAUAAUCGUAAACACUUUUACAAUAUGAAAAUGAUGUUUGAAAACUAUUGGUUACCCUCUACCAUGUAGUAAGGACAUACCUAAAUUGUUGUUAUAGCAUUCUCGAGAAGCAUGACAAAAUGACCCAUUGUAGAUAAAAUAUUGUGUUAACAAGAGCACAUAUAUAGCAGAGUUCCCUGACACAGAUAAAGCAGCCCACACCAGUCUGGACAAAGCUGGCAAGAUAACUCGUCAUGAUUAAAGUUAGGGGUGUUCAAAUCCAGACCGGUCCAACAAUAAAACCGAAAAUCGAUCCAAAAUAGACUGAAACCGCAAAAAUCGAAUGUAUUUGGAUCGUGUUGGACUUAUUUUUUAAAGACCGAUUGGUCAUCAUCUUCUUAAUAUUUAUAAGAACAUAUCAAACUCUUCAUUCCAUCAAACACCCUCCAAUUCUAUUAGUCACAUUAUCACAAUGGGUUGCACUAGGUUGUUGGGCCUUAUGGCUAUGAUUCUCAUGGUGAUGCUACCUUUUACUACCAAAGGGGAUCUUGUUGAUGAUAUUCUUGGUGCUUAACUCAUCUCUUUCCAUUUUUUUGUUUAAAGAAAAAGAACAAACUCUUUCUAUUUUCUCUAACUAUCUAAUGUAUGAAAUGAGAAUAAAUUAGUACUUAAUAGCUUAAAUAACUUUGGCUUAUUGAUUGGGGUGUUCAGGUAAAGUUUGUGAUGAAGUGGAAUGUGGAAAAGGAAGCUGUGUAGUGAAUACAAGUUACCCAUUAAACUUCUUGUGUGAAUGUGAAUCUGGUUGGAAGAGAACCCGAAAUGAAGAUAAUGAUACAUAUGCUACUAGUUUUCUUCCAUGUGUCAUUCCUAAUUGUAAGUAACACUACUUUUACAUAAGAUGUGCACUUUAGAAGAUAAAUUGUGUAUUUAUGAACGUCAUCAUGAUGGUAUUUUCACACCUACAUGACAAAUACCAAAGUUGGUAUAAUCAUAAUAUAAUUGAUACUCAUAAUUGCUCAUUAUAUCUUCUAAAAGUAAAAUACAAACUCAACCCACUUAAGGUUUGUCUCUAAGGCUAGAAAGUAUGAAUAUAUACCUCAUUUAUGUUAUUCUUCUGGGUCGGUUUUCAGAGGACAAUGGAGAUAAGUACUAAUGACUUGAAAACAAGAUAUGCACUUGUGAGAUGUCUAUAAAGAUAACACAUCAAACCUUAAUAAAAACAUGCUCUAUUAUCUGUAGGUAGCUUGGACUAUGGUUGCCAGCCAGCGCCACCUCCAGUUCCAGAGAAGGAUGUUCCACACAAUUUAUCAGCUUUUGAUCGUAAGUACUACGCUACUUAUUCAUGAUUAUAAAUACUUAUUGGUUAUUAUAGUUAAGCUUAAGAGUUUAUAUUUGAUCAACUCAAGUAUUAUAUUAUUAUAAAGUACAUAGUGAUACAUUCUUGUCUAUUAAUAAUAUAAAAAAUACAUCGACAUUAUGUAAAUUUUAGAACUGGUAACAUUAGUAUUGAUUAUAGAUUUCUCUUUUUCUAAUAAUUUGUUAUGCAAUAAUGAAAAUAGCAUGCUACUGGGCGUACUGUGGGGUAGGUGAAUGCACCAAGAACAAGACAUAUACAUAUGGUUGUAAAUGCAACCCCAGUUACUAUAAUCUUCUCAACAUUUCCGUUUUUCCUUGUUACAGUGAAUGUAAGGAUUCAAAGCCCAUCUUUUGUAUUGAAAAAUGAUAACAAAAUAUUGAUAUACUGAAUAAAAAGAUUUUUUCUUUUUUGGACUUGUAAUCAUUAAGGUACUCUUGGAUCUGAUUGUUCCAGACUUGGAAUUAAAGUUUCAAAUUCAACCAGUAGCACUGGUGGUGGCACUAAUCAAGGUGAGAUUGGACUCUACUCAUAUACUUUUCUUGCUUAUUGAUGUUAAAUUCGUAAAUGACUCCACAAAUCACCCAUGAUAUAUAACCUUAAGUACAGUUGUCAUCAUUCAUUAUUAAGAUUUGUUUGCGAGAUAAACUUUAAAUGAGAAAGAAGAGUAUUUCAAGUCAUUCUCAUCCUUCUAUAACCCUUCAAAAACUAAUUCGGACACAGACUCAAACAUUCGCUAACCUUUGGUAUGUCUGUUUUAUGUAUUUUCCUCAGCAAGCUCAACCUUUCCUCGGUGGUUCAAUUGGAUAAUUAUGUUGUUGGUGUCCACUGGUAUGGUAAUGUGGAGCUAGUACACAAAGAGAUUACUUGUUCUUGGUGGCACUGUACUUAGCAUUAUUUGCUGAAUUAUUAUGUGAUUGUUAUCCAUGGUUCUUUUGUGUAAUAAUAGUAGCCUCAUUUUAUUAGCAUGUACAAUAUAGGCCUUCGAGAGUCAUUAUUUGGGCGUAGACUUUUUUGUCAAACCUUGGUACCAAAAAUAAAAAAUGAGGUUCAGUCAUCAACAUAAGAUGACUAGUGUAUAGUACAGUGAAUAUACACAUUAUGUUGCAGUGUUGCCAUUACUUGUUUUAUUGUCAUCAGCAUUGCAUUAUUACUAACCAUUGUAUUUCAUUCUUCAUUUUUACCCUCCUUUUAAAACAACAAGAUCAAUAACAUCAACAUAUUAUUACUACAUGAAAUAGCUAUAACAUUAAGACACAACAAAGUGAAAAUUUCAGCUGAAAGGGCUUAAUGGAAAUAGUUGUAGAACAUUAUAACAGAAGUUCUUCAUUGGAGAUUACUAAAAUUUUCACUUUGUUUUGUUGACACUCAUCACCUCACACAAAAGGCAUUUAAAGAACAAUAAAUAAUAAAAUUAUACUUGUAUAAAAGAAACGAAUCAAUUCAAUGUGUCCUGGUAAGUGCUAACGGAAAACAAACAAAACAACCUCCAUACUGAAAUUGAAGGUAUCCUGAGAGUGCCAUUAGUUACAUAAACAUGGAUUUGGAACUAUUAAAACUACCAGCAAAAAAAUUAACAUGAAUAGUCAAAUUCUGCAAUCAAGAACAACUAACUAAAAAAAUUUGAAGUUUGAAGUGUGUUUUCGAAUUGCACUUAAGGUUGCUUUUACCACAAUGUACACAAUGAUGCAAAAGUGUUCCGCAGUACAGUCGAAGAGACCACCAAAGCCGCAAUUUAAAACCAUGUAAAGUAUAUUCA
rnacentral:lncRNA from 1 species